CAACAAACCAAAAGAGGGCAACGACCGGUAUGGCCCACUGUCUUCUUCUUCUUCCUCCUUCCCGUACCGUUUCUUCCUCUUGCGAUAAAAAACACACACAUCGCUUUUCUCUUUACACAUCACAAUAAUAUUCCAUACCUUUUCCCACUUACACCAAAUGUCCACCACCAUCGCAACUCCGCCGCAGCGUCACCACACUUUUUGGUGCCACGAAUGCGACAUGAGCGUCUUCCUCCUUCACCCACCCCCGAAUAAUCCUCGCUGCCCUCACUGCCAUUCCGAUUUCCUCGAACAUAUGGACUCUUUUACCCCUACCAUUCUUCCCCAAUUUCCGAAUCACCCUAACCCUACCUCUGACAUUGAAACCCCCACCACUUUUACUCCCUCUGACGACAACUUCCUCCUCAAUAGUCCUUAUCUCCACCGUCUAAUUCGCCAUCUCACCACCACUAAUGACGCUCCUACCCCCAAUCUUCACAACAAUUCCGCGUCCAGAUCAGCUGUGGCGGCACUUGAACUACUUCAAAUUACCUCUUCCAUGCUUGAGAAUGAUCCGGUUAUUCUUUGUGCGGUCUGCAAAGACCAGUUUUUACUCGACAUGCAAGUUAAAAUGUUGCCUUGCAAACACAUGUAUCAUUCUGAUUGUAUUUUACCAUGGUUAGAAAUGAAUAAUUCAUGUCCAGUUUGUAGGUUCCAGUUACCUACGGAGGAAGACGAGGUUUGCCGUAGACGUCAGGAUUUUGUUGCAGCAAUGAGAUUGGAAGAGUUUCUGGGUGAGCAAGAGGAUUUGUUUGGGUUUAGGCGCACACUUAGACGUGUUGCCAGGAGGCAUCAGCUUGACAGGGAGGAUACCACUAGGGGUGACAGUUUGGAGUUUCUGCUCUCCCCUACUCAGAUUGGCCAGACCGGUCAAGGAGAUGGAGUUGUUGCGAGAGCUAAUAGUGUGGAGACCGUAUCAAGUUGGCCGAAUUGGCCACUCGAAAGUGGUAGUGAAGAUGAAGUAGGUGGAAGUGGUAACACAUUUGGUAAUUAAUGAGAUCCGGUUGUCAGGUCUUUAAGCAGUGUUAAGAUGAAGUACUUGCAUUUUCUGCUUCUUAAUAUGGGCAUCUUUUGGCCCAUUUGGCGCACAUAGGUACUGUAUAGUUGUUGUUACUACUAAUUAGGAACAUCCAAGAGAAUAAUUUUGCCAUAGAUCUGCUGGAGAAUUGUAAAUCAUGAUGCAUAAUCACGCUUCUGCCAAUAAUCAAACAAGCAAGUGUUAAAAUCCUGUAAUUUUUGUUAUGGCAAUUUCAUGUGUUGCUUGUCGUAAUAGUAGUCUAUUGUGAUUGAUACCCGUACAAGCAAUAAUAACAUUCUCUAAUUUUGGUUGAAGCUGGAUAUUGUCUAUUUGUGUACUUUCUGCUCAUUUAUGCUGACUUGCUUUUGUACACAAAAAGAUAAUGCAUUGCUCUCUUCGGGUGUA